GCCUUGGUAGUUCAACGGAUAGAACACCGGCCUUCUAAGCCGGGGAUAGAGGUUCGAUUCCUCUCCGAGGCA
rnacentral:tRNA from 1 species